rnacentral:rRNA from 1 species
GAUGAACGCUAGCGGGAGGCUUAACACAUGCAAGUCGAGGGGCAGCAUAGGGGUAGCAAUACUACUGAUGGCGACCGGCAAACGGGUGAGUAACGCGUAUGCAACCUACCCUGUACAGGGGGAUAACCCGGAGAAAUUCGGACUAAUAUCCCGUAAUAAUAUCCGGAGGCAUCUUUGGAUAUUUAAAGUUCCGACGGUACGGGAUGGGCAUGCGUAACAUUAACUGGUUGGUAAGGUAACGGCUUACCAAGGCUAUGAUGUUUAGGGGUCCUGAGAGGGUGGUCCCCCACACUGGUACUGAGACACGGACCAGACUCCUACGGGAGGCAGCAGUAAGGAAUAUUGGGCAAUGGACGCAAGUCUGACCCAGCCCAUGCCGCGUGCAGGAAUGACGGCCCUAUGGGUUGUAAACUGCUUUUGUAUGGGAAAAAACCCCCGGUCGUGUACCGGGGCUGAUGUUACCAUAAGAAUAAGCAUCGGCUAACUCCGUG